rnacentral:rRNA from 1 species
UACGAAGGGGGCUAGCGUUGCUCGGAAUCACUGGGCGUAAAGCGCACGUAGGCGGAUCGCUAAGUCAGGGGUGAAAUCCUGGAGCUCAACUCCAGAACUGCCUUUGAUACUGGCAAUCUCGAGUCCGGGAGAGGUGAGUGGAACUGCGAGUGUAGAGGUGAAAUGCGUAGAUAUUGGGAAGAACACCUGAGGCGAAGGCGGGUUGCUGGGCUGACACUGACGCUGAGGCGCGAAAGCCAGGGGAGCAAACGGG